rnacentral:lncRNA from 1 species
UGACAUCUGCUCCCUGAGAGGUGCAGUGGGAAGUCCUGCACUGUGAGUCCAUUGAGUAGGACACACCCAGGCCUCUUCUUUUCUCCAGGAUAUGUGCAAGAUGAGAGCUAGCCAUCAGUCUCCUGAUGGUGGAGAUUUGAUCUGAAGCAUUCAAAUAGGAAAUGAAUGCUCAGAGGAAGCUUCAAAUUUCUUUCUACUUGAAGAAGCUGAAUUGCAGAAGCUAUCUCUGUCCUGUUAAUCACCGGGUCCACAGUGAAACCAGCCAACUUCAGAGAAGACUCUUGUGCUGCGCGACCCCUGACUGUAACCAAGCGUCAUUCUCUCUGAGACGUUCCCUCAGAGCUUGUUCUGACAGCCCUCACCUCCAGUGACGAGGUCCACUAACUUUUCCACACGAGGGGUUCUCUGCUUCCCUCCAUCUGAGCUGCGCAAUUCCACCAGGCCUUU